rnacentral:rRNA from 1 species
GUCUCUGGAUGCCCCUGGGACGGUAGCACAGAGGAGCUUGCUCCUUGGGUGACGAGUGGCGGACGGGUGAGUAAUGUCUGGGGAUCUGCCCGAUAGAGGGGGAUAACCACUGGAAACGGUGGCUAAUACCGCAUAACGUCGCAAGACCAAAGAGGGGGACCUUCGGGCCUCUCACUAUCGGAUGAACCCAUAUGGGAUUAGCUAGUAGGCGGGGUAAUGGCCCACCUAGGCGACUAUCCCUAUCUGGUCUGAGAGGAUGACCAGCCACACUGGAACUGACACACGGUCCACACUCCUACGGGAGGCAGCAGUGGGGAAUAUUGCACAAUGGGCGCAAGCCUGAUGCACCCAUGCCGCGUGUAUGAAAAAGGCCUUCGGGUUGUAAAGUACUUUCAGCGGGGAGGAAGGCGACGGGGUUAAUAACCGUGUCGAUUGACGUUACCCGCAAAAAAAGCACCGGCUAACUCCGUGCCAGCCGCCGCGGUAAUUCCUCGUGACU